rnacentral:rRNA from 1 species
UACGGAGGGUGCGAGCGUUGUCCGGAAUCACUGGGCGUAAAGGGCGCGUAGGCGGCCGUGUAAGUCGGAUGUGAAAUUUCGGAGCUUAACUCCGAAACUGCAUUCGAUACUGCCGUGCUUGAGGACUGGAGAGGAGACUGGAAUUUACGGUGUAGCGGUGAAAUGCGUAGAUAUCGUAAGGAAGACCAGUGGCGAAGGCGGGUCUCUGGACAGUUCCUGACGCUGAGGCACGAAGGUCAGGGGAGCAAACGGG